rnacentral:rRNA from 1 species
UACGUAGGGGGCUAGCGUUGUCCGGAAUCAUUGGGCGUAAAGCGCGCGUAGGCGGCCCGGUAAGUCCGCUCUGAAAGUCCAGGGCUCAACCCUGGAAAGCGGGUGGAUACUGCCGGGCUAGAAUCCGGAAGAGGCGAGUGGAAUUCCUGGUGUAGCGGUGGAAUGCGCAGAUAUCAGGAGGAACGCCAAUGGUGAAAACAGCUCGCUGGGAAUGAUCUGACACUGAGACGCGAAAGCCAGGGGAGCGAAACGGG